rnacentral:rRNA from 1 species
UUUUUUUUUUUUUUAUUUUUGUCUUUCUAAAGAUUAAGCCAUGCAUGUCUAAGUAUAAGCACUUUUUACUGUGAAACUGCGAAUGGCUCAUUAAAUCAGUUAUCGUUUAUUUGAUAGUACCUUACUACAUGGAUACCUGUGGUAAUUCUAGAGCUAAUACAUGCUAAAAACCUCGACUUCGGAAGGGGUGUAUUUAUUAGAUAAAAAACCAACGCCCUUCGGGGCUCCUUGGUGAAUCAUAAUAACUAAGCGAAUCGCAUGGCCUUGCGCCGGCGAUGGUUCAUUCAAAUUUCUGCCCUAUCAACUUUCGAUGGUAGGAUAGUGGCCUACCAUGGUGGCAACGGGUAACGGGGAAUUAGGGUUCGAUUCCGGAGAGGGAGCCUGAGAAACGGCUACCACAUCCAAGGAAGGCAGCAGGCGCGCAAAUUACCCAAUCCCGACACGGGGAGGUAGUGACAAUAAAUACUGAUACGGGGCUCUUUUGGGUCUCGUAAUUGGAAUGAGUACAAUCUAAAUCCCUUAACGAGGAACAAUUGGAGGGCAAGUCUGGUGCCAGCAGCCGCGGUAAUUCCAGCUCCAAUAGCGUAUAUUAAAGUUGUUGCAGUUAAAAAGCUCGUAGUUGAACCUUGGGUCUGGCUGGCCGGUCCGCCUCACCGCGAGUACUGGUCCGGCUGGACCUUUCCUUCUGGGGAACCUCAUGGCCUUCACUGGCUGUGGGGGGAACCAGGACUUUUACUGUGAAAAAAUUAGAGUGUUCAAAGCAGGCCUUUGCUCGAAUACAUUAGCAUGGAAUAAUAGAAUAGGACGUGCGGUUCUAUUUUGUUGGUUUCUAGGACCGCCGUAAUGAUUAAUAGGGAUAGUCGGGGGCGUCAGUAUUCAGCUGUCAGAGGUGAAAUUCUUGGAUUUGCUGAAGACUAACUACUGCGAAAGCAUUCGCCAAGGAUGUUUUCAUUAAUCAGGGAACGAAAGUUAGGGGAUCGAAGACGAUCAGAUACCGUCGUAGUCUUAACCAUAAACUAUGCCGACUAGGGAUCGGGCGGUGUUUCUAUAAUGACCCGCUCGGCACCUUACGAGAAAUCAAAGUUUUUGGGUUCUGGGGGAGUUGCACGGG